GUUUGUUUCAACAAUUUUUGUUAAAAUUUACCUUAAAGUAAAAACUCUUUUCUAAAAAAGAAAGACGACAAGACCCUMAUGAACUUUACUUUAGUUAAGCUGGGGUGGCUCAUAUAAAAAUAUCUUAUAAACCCACACUUAAUUACCUUAAUAAAAAUUUACCAAGUUACCAUAGGGAUAACAGCAUAAUUUUAUUUUUAAGCUCAYAUUAAUAAUAAAGAUUAUGACCUCGAUGUUGAAUUAAGAARNCUAAAGAYUGUMHMMGCCUAUAAAAAAGUCUGUUCGACUUUUAAACUCUUACA
rnacentral:rRNA from 1 species